CCGCCGCCGCCAAUGCCUCCAGGCUGCUUCCGGCUCGAACCGUCGGCGAAUCACAAGCGAGCACCAGAAAGCUCCGGCUCGCGGCCCCGCCCACCGUUCGCCCCGCCCCGUCCUUCUCCUUCGCCCCCUUGGGUUCGUUCCCUUCCUGCUGGGCUCAAGUAGGUCAAGGCAAGGUGAUCCCAGGGAGACAGGCAGUGCUUGGGGCGCGCCUCCUUUUACUUAGCGCGCGGUCGUCUCCUUUCCUCGCCUCGCACCCUCACUUCGCCCUUUCGGACUGUGCCGGAACUGGUUUGCUCCAGCCGCCCUCACCUGUUCUGCCUCCCCCUAGAGGCACGACAGCCGGAGAUCGGACGUGGGAGAUUAGAUUUCUCGACGUCAAAUUUACAUCUAGGCAACCGCCCUAGACUGGGGCUGGCCACAGUGCACCCGAAAGUCUGUGGUCGGCCGUGGGCCCCUACCUUUGUUGGAGGGUGGUGGUGAGUGAGGAGGGGGCGUGGAGAUUGUGAGUGAGAAGAGAGGCACGCUGGGGGAAGAAGGGGUGAGAGGAUUCAGUAAUAGAAAAAAACCAUUGGAGGGGUCAGAGAAGGCCUAUUCUAUUAGUGUUGCUAUAAAAACCUCCGGAUUUCUGUUUUGUCCGAGGGCGGCUAUCCCUUCGGAGAACAGUCCGUUCUUUGCUGGUCUUGCCCUCUUUUGGAAAAAGAAAAUAGCCUGGAGAAUCUGCAGUCCCUAUCCUAACCUUCUGGGGCCAUUUAGACCUCAUACCAAACCUAGUUAUCCACCCUGCCACUUUGCACCCAAGAGGCAAACCCGUUCCAGGGACACAUGAGGUAUACUGGGCUCUGACGGCAACUUCAUGUGACUGAAGAGCAUGCUGGAAAGUUUCCUAGAUUAAAGGCAACUCCAGACUCGACCCUAUCCAAUUACUAUAUAAUCCAGAUGAAAACUUCAAAAUGGAACACUGGCAAUUUCAACCCUAUAAGGAGUGAAGGCUGACUGAACCUAGAAAGGCAAGAAACCUUCCUUUGGAGACUUUCUCCUAAGAGAGGAGUUGCCAUCAGCCAUUGCCGGCAACAGCGGUCAGGAAUCCGAUGAUCCUCCUCCUGACGAAUCAUUGGAAGGUGAAUAGUAGCCUAACUUUACAUCACAACACCUGCGUCUGCGUGGUUCACUGUUCGCUUCGCUUCAUCUCAUCCUGGAGGCAUUUUAUCCUCUCCGUCAUCACAAGAAAGGUGAGAAAACUGAGGCUAGAGAAUUUAUGUACCUUGUCCAAGGCCACACAGCCAAUAAAUGGCACAGCAGGUUUCAGACUGAGGUGAGGAUGGCGCCCCAGCCCCUCCUGUGCCACUUCCUGCACUCGGAUGUGGUCUGAGAGGUCCAAUGGGAAGAACUUGUUGCUAUAAAAUAGAACAUAUACAAUAAACGCACAGAAUCUGAGCAAUCUGA